UAUCUAACGCAGAAGUUAGGUGAAAAUGUUACGGUAAAAGCCUUUGUAUUGUAUGACAACUCCAUUCUCAACGAUUCACAGAAGAUAAAGAACGAUACUAGACCUUUGUGGGACCAUUUCACAAAAAUAUUUCAACAGGUUCAGGAUCGCAUCAAUAAAAUGGGAGCAAUGAUAAAUAUUAAUGUGACAAAUGUAGAAAAUGCGAGCUCUAUCAUUGUGCGCCAAAAUAGUACGGAAGAUCUAAUAGAUGGGAUGGCGACACUUAGGAACGUUCUGGAAUAUGCCAACACUACCAAUAUUACAGCACGCAAUUAUAUAUAUUAUUUUUUUCUAUC